rnacentral:rRNA from 1 species
AUUGAACGCUGGCGGCAGGCCUAACACAUGCAAGUCGAACGAGUGGCGGACGGGUGAGUAAUGUCUGGGAAACUGCCUGAUGGAGGGGGAUAACUACUGGAAACGGUAGCUAAUACCGCAUACCAUCAGAUGUGCCCAGAUGGGAUUAGCUUGUUGGUGGGGUAACGGCUCACCAAGGCGACGAUCCCUAGCUGGUCUGAGAGGAUGACCGUCCAAACUGAACCUGCGGCACGGUCCAAACACCUACGGGAGGCAGCAGUUGGGAAUAUUACACAAUGGGCGCAAGCCUGAUACAGCCAAGCCGCGUGUAUGAAGAAGGCCUUCGGGUUGUAAAGUACUUUCAGCGGGGAGGCGUUACCCGCAGGAGAAGCACCGGCUAACUCCGUGCCGGCAGCCGCGGUAAUAC